rnacentral:rRNA from 1 species
UGUUCCUACGGGACGCAGCAGUGAGGAAUAUUGGUCAAUGGGCGGGAGCCUGAACCAGCCAAGCCGCGUGAAGGAAGAAGGCGCCAGGCGUCGUAAACUUCUUUUGUCGGGGAACAAAGGGCGUCACGCGUGGCGUUGUGAGUGUACCCGAAGAAAAAGCAUCGGCUAACUCCGUGCCAGCAGCCGCGGUAAUACGGAGGAUGCGAGCGUUAUCCGGAUUUAUUGGGUUUAAAGGGUGCGUAGGCGGGCUGUUAAGUCAGCGGUCAAAUGUCGGGGCUCAACCCCGGCCUGCCGUUGAAACUGGC